CACCAGCGCCUCAAGUGGUACCCACGAAUACUGGGCCUAGAGCGUUCGUAGCCGGCCAAGUAAGUCUUCUGUGAAAUAGUGUAGCUUAACUACACUGCGCGCAGGAGAUACUGCUAGGCUUGGGAACGGGGGAGGUCAGGAGUACACCCGGGGUAGGGGUAAAAUCCUUUGAGCCUGGGUGGACUACCAGUGGCGAAGGCGCCUGACCAAAACGUGUCCGACGGUGAGGAACGAAAGCUGGGGGAGCGAACGGGAUUAGAUACCCGUGUA
rnacentral:rRNA from 1 species